UACGGAGGGUGCAAGCGUUAAUCGGAAUUACUGGGCGUAAAGCGCACGCAGGUGGCUGAGUCAGUCGAUUGUGAAAGCCCUGGGCUUAACCUGGGAAUUGCAGUCGAUACUACUCAGCUAGAGUAUGGGAGAGGGCAGUGGAAUUCCCGGUGUAGCGGUGAAAUGCGUAGAUAUCGGGAGGAACAUCAGUGGCGAAGGCGGCUGCCUGGCCCAAUACUGACACUCAUGUGCGAAAGCGUGGGGAGCAAACAGG
rnacentral:rRNA from 1 species